GACAGAGGAUGCAAGCGUUAUCCGGAAUGAUUGGGCGUAAAGAGCUCGUAGGCGGCUUGUCGCGUCGGAUGUGAAAGCCCGGGGCUUAACCCCCGGGCCUGCAGUGGAUACGGGCAGGCUGGAGGCAGGCAGGGGGAGAACGGAAUUCCCGGUGUAGCGGUGAAAUGCGCAGAUAUCGGGAGGAACACCGGUGGCGAAGGCGGGUCUCUGGGCCGAUACUGACGCUGAGGAGCGAAAGCGUGGGGAGCGAACAGG
rnacentral:rRNA from 1 species